CAAGUACUCCCUCCGUCAGAAAAAAACUUGUCAUCAAAAUGGACAAAAAAGAGUGUAUUUAGAACUAAAAUACAUCUAGAUACAUCCCUUUUUAUUCAUUUUGAUGACAAGUAUUUCCGGACGGAGGGAGUAAUAC
rfam:Triticum urartu cultivar G1812 contig731686, whole genome shotgun sequence.